UCCCCUCCGCACCCGCGCAGCGACCUCCUCCUGACCGUCCUUACCUGCCUCGUACCUGCUCAGGUACCUUCUCCUAUAUCCUGGGUACCUUUCCUGGGACAUGCUCAGGUACCUUCUCCUGAUCUUCGGCUCCUGCCCUGAUACUUCCGCGCCGGUACCUCCCUGCACCUCCUGGCACCUGCCCUGGAACCUCUCCACAGCCACGGUCCGCGCCCUGCCGUGCCCCGCCAAUGCAGCUGCGGUGCCGGCAGUGCCGGGGGCAGAUCUGGAUGAGCACACCGUGUAAAUUGUUGCUGACUGAUGAAGCUGUCAUUACCACCCCAUCCUCAGACCCCUAACACCCUCUGUUUGACCAACAGAACCAGGAGAGCACAUCAGGGUUUUUACAAAAUGACUUUCCUCGAUGGUCUGUCAGUCAUUCCAGCCUUUCAAAGUGCUGAAAUGCUGCCCUGGGUGGCCCAAUCAGCCUAAAAGUGACAUCAACUAUUCUCAGGCAAUUUUGGUUUUGUGGUGCCUGUUAUGUGUGAAUUUCAAAGCACUUGUGCGAGAAAUUUAAGCUGAUCAAAACUGAGCAGUCAAUCCAAAGGAGAGCAAAAGACUGACUUGCACAAAUUCCCACCUCAGGUUUCUGCCUGUUCCUGGUCCAUGACUUCCCUUUCGGAUCCCACCAGAAUGUUCCAGUGAUGUGGUUCCACCCCCUGCCUUCCGAGAGGAGGUGAAGCACAAGCAGAGGCUGCCCAAAAAGGCAGCAGGAAUUCCUUCCUUGAAGAGCUUCAGAACUUCACAAGGCACUGAACAACUUGAACAACUUUGACCUCAGUCCUGCUCCAAAGAGGAGAGGAGACCAAAGGCUCCACAGGGCCUUUCCAAUCUGAACCAUACUUGAGCCUGUCUUUCUUCACUGGGGCCAGCAGCAUUUCUGGAAAAUAUAAGAUGAAAACCAGUACAAAUGCCAGACUUGACUAUUUCUGGCAAAUGUGAGAGUCUUAUGAAAGCCUAUAAUGAGCAUCUGUCACCAUGGCAAGAAAGACACAAAAUCCUUCAAAACAGAAGUGGCCAGUUCUGAUCUCACUUAGUACAAAUCAUUGUAAAUCAAAUUUCAUGAGUGAGUUUAAAACAGCAAGACAAUCAGAAGUAAAUAAACAAAAGUUCAGAAUUUUAAAUGCAAUUUGAAAGCAACAGCUCCAAGUAGUGAACAUAAACUCCAUACUCUGGUGAGUUGCAGAUCUGUUGUGGUUAUCAGCAGCCACCCUGCGGAGCUCCCCUCGGUAUCUUUCUUCAGCCUCCAGGAUGACCCUGUGGUGCUCACACCUAUGCAGGCAACUCUGCAACAUCUUGGUGAAGGUUUUGCUGUUCAAGGACAGUCCUCCUGCUGUACAACCUGGGAAAAACAAGAUAUUGCAGAAAUAGCAAUCACAGCUUCUAAAGGAGCCACCACAAAGUUCAGGGUUUUAUUUUGCUCACUAGGAUCAAUUUGACUUCAGGUUUUCCAUACUCAUGUCAUUUCUAUGUACCUUCUUAAAAUACUUUGUAUUUGCUCUCUUAAAAAAAUUGUUUUCAACAUUUUAUGGGACUAAGUUAUACUGCACUUCCACUCCAGAAGUACUGAGUGAGGCACAGAUCCUCUACAGAACUACAAAUAUUGGUGGGAUGGGAAGACAGAGGCUUCAGUUCCAUUUGCACAUUUAUCCAGGAGCCAAUAUAUAUAUAUUAUGUACUAUAUAUAUUUUUAUUAACUUUGUGUUGUAACAGUUACCUGUAUUAAUCUGAAUCAAUGGUAAAUCUAGUUUAGGCAUGAAUGGUCUCACAGCAAGCCUUGCUGUUCAUUUUUGAGGACAUUCCCUAGGGUAAUUUGUGGUUUAGAUAUCCUUGGAUGCUCUCAUGGUUAAGUUACAUCAGCUGAAGGAGAACUUGUGUGAGGAAUCGCAGGAAGGGCACAAGUCCAUAUCUGUAACGUUCUGCCUUAAGAUAAAGCAGUGCUAAAGCUCAGCUUUAAUUUUGUUUGACAACUCAGAUAAAAACAAUGUUCAAACGUGGGUUACGGGCUGCUUUAGGGGUUCUUUUGUUUUCUGUGGGUUUUAGUUUUGUUGGAAGUUUUUAAAUAAAGACACAUUGGCUUGAUUACAAAAUCCACUCACAAAUCCAGAGUACCAGCAGUAUUCUCAUAACUUACUGAUGGAGCAGGCUGAGGAAGUAGAGCCUGGGGUAAUGGAGGGCUGUAGUCGUGGAUUAGCAUGAAACUGCCUGCCUGUACUUCACAGCAGUGAGGGAAAGAGAAGGGCUGCAGAAUGCUGAGGAAGUUUAGCAGGCAAAUAAAUGAGGGAAAUGAGCAGGACUAUGUGUUCUUCCUCCCUCUCUGAAAGCAGAGAAAGGAGGAAAACACCUGCUCAAGUAUUCUUCUGAUUAUCCUUCUAAUUAAUUCAAGUUACUGUAUGUUCUGUUUGUCAGCAAACCCACAUUAUUACAUGGACCAAAACAGCAAUUUUUCAGCUUAAUUUCAAUAUUUCAAUAUUCAUCUUUUAUAUUAGAGGUAGAAAAAAGAAGGGAAAGGGAAAGGGCUCAGGUUUUGUUAUUAUGUAAGAGGUAAUGGAAGAGAUGUGUUACAAUUUCUGUCAAGUCAAUCCACUUACUUCACUGCUGACUCUUUAAGGCUUUUUUAUGUACACUGGAAAGAAAGAUCUAAGAUAGUAUUUACCUAAACACCUUAAAUCUGCCAUUUUAUGGGAUGAAAAUAUAGCUGAAGUACUUUUGACUCUCUCAGUUUUCUCUGAGCAGAAUGAAUGUUGACCUAAACGAGGGAGGAAAAAAGUCACUAAGAAAUAUAACCUAUCUUUUGCCAUGGUAAUCAUGUAUCAGCAUAACUACAUUCAACUGCAUUUUCUAUUUGUAAAUUAUUAAAGUAUAAUUAACAUAACAGCAGAAAUCCAAAUGAAAUUUCUCAAGUUAAAUGCGUCACAUUCACAUUUCUGUAAUUCCAGAAUAACCGUGUUCCUUUCAAUGUUUUUUCAUCACUCUCCCAAAGGAUAUGAUUUCAACUUGUACAUAGCAAAUGAACCCGGUAAACCCAUAUUGCUUAACUGAGUCCUAUCUAGUUUAUUUUUGUUUGGAAUCAAGUGUUGAAAAAUGUAAUAUAUAGGAGUAAUAGAUAUUCUCAGUUUAAACAGGUGUAACCUGGAGAUCAGCUGGUCACCUGUAAAGCUUCCAUUCUGGCAAAUUCUAAUCUAAUGAAUACUUAACAAUUUUAUAAAUUAACAGGAAAGUAAACAAUUAAUAAAGAUUUGAUUGAACUGAUCCCAGUUCUGAAAUAAAUGUAUCAGACCGAGAUUAAUGCAAAUCUGAAAAACUUUUCUCUUAAACACAUGUUCAUCAUGUAGGAACAGCAUCAGGCAAAAGUCACUCUCACAGGCAGGUUCUAUCCCAGCUUUACAGGCACAGGACCAAACCUCCAUUUUCUAACAGUGGCUUUCACUGGUCAGUACAGAUUAAACACUAAACUUAAUCUCUGAUACAUUCAUUUGUAUAGUUAAAAUCAGUUUAAAAAAACAAAGCUAAAAUACGCAUUAAAAGAAAAGUAGGAUAAAUGUUCUCCUGGUAAAAUUGUGUACAAUAUAAAAUUCCAACACUAUGCAAACUAGUUGAAGGAUAUUACACAUAAGGCACCUCUGUCAUCUAAUGAUACAUAACAAGUGAUAAAAAGUAGUGAUAAACGUACAUAAAACUAAUUAAAAUCUCAUUAAGAACAAAAUAAGCUCAGAAAGGAAUAUGUGUAGGUAUUUGUACCUGAUGUGCAUGUCUGUUUCAUAUUUCUAACAGUCUCUGCUGGUUGUUUAAAUAACUGUUCACUGGGAAGAUCAAAAUGUAAACAAAUUAAAAACAAUAAAACAAUAAAAACAAUGUACAUUUA